AUAAUGUAACUCAAACUCCCAGUGAAGGGUAAGAAAAGAUAGUCUUUCUCCAAUCCAGCAGCAUAGCAACUGUGGUUAUAUGGCAAACAAGGUGAGGAAACAGUCUCAGAAGAGUCAAGGAUAGAUUUGGAUCCAAGUUCAAAUCUCUAUAUCCCACUCUAUGCACCAUGUUACCUGGCUUCUGGUGGACAGAUCAAAGGAUUCUUACUUAAAGCCAGUCUGGGCGUUGCUAUGGCAAUGAAAGAUUCUGGCCAUCGGAGAGCUAUAGCCCCGGUGCCGGAGGUGUCACUGAAUCACAAGCUAGUUCUGGAUGGAUGAGCAGCCCAGCACCAACCAGCAAGCCUUUCUGCUCAGGAAAAUCACUAAGCUGUUCAAGCUCCUCUCCAAACUCCCGUGAAGCAUCCUUGACAGAAAGUCAGCCACACUGCAGAUGGAUCCGACACCAUCUGGCCUGAUCAGAGCCCUUGGCACACACCAAGAUUCUGGUGGGGUAUUUUUUCCAUUAUGCUCUAAUGGGCCUUUACAAGGAGUCUGAAUGAAGAAGCAAUUUGCCAGCUGAGUCUGAGAGUGGCCCAGUUUCUCUUCUGCUGGUUCUUAGAAGGAGCUGCUCUCCUGACGCACCCUGCCAAGCCAUACAUCCCUAAAUCCAGCUCACACUAGCAAUUGCUAGAUUGGGAGGUGGGGAGGAGGGGGCGGACAGCAGGGACUUUAACUAGAUUAUCCCAAUGUAGGCAUCCUCCUGGACAUCCUCAAGGAUAACCCAGACAUUCUGAUUUUGUUCCCAUGUUGAAAAGGGUUCCCCUUCACCCUACAUGAUGAUGAAGGGGGAAAGCAUUUAGCAAGUUCCUA